AUUGAACGCUGGCGGCAUGCCUUACACAUGCAAGUCGGACGGCAGCGCGGGAGCAAUCCUGGCGGCGAGUGGCGAACGGGUGAGUAACAUAUCGGAACGUGCCCAGUAGUGGGGGAUAGCCCGGCGAAAGCCGGAUUAAUACCGCAUACGACCUACGGGUGAAAGGGGGGGAUCGCAAGACCUCUCGCUAUUGGAGCGGCCGAUAUCAGAUUAGGUAGUUGGUGGGGUAAAGGCCUACCAAGCCUGCGAUCUGUAGUUGGUCUGAGAGGACGACCAGCCGCACUGGGACUGAGACACGGCCCAGACUCCUACGGGAGGCAGCAUGGAGUAAUUUUGGACAAUGGGCGCAAGCCUGAUCCAGCCAUGCCGCGUGCAGGAAGAAGGCCUUCGGGUUGUAAACUGCUUUUGUCAGGGAAGAAAUCCUCUAGGCUAAUACCUUGGGGGGAUGACGGUACCUGAAGAAUAAGCACCGGCUAACUACGUGCCAGCAGCCGCGGUAAAAC
rnacentral:rRNA from 1 species